rnacentral:rRNA from 1 species
CGAUGGAUCCGCGUCUGAUUAGCCAGUUGGCGGGGUAACGGCCCACCAAAACGACGAUCAGUAGCCGGCCUGAGAGGGUGAACGGCCACAUUGGGACUGAGACACGGCCCAAACUCCUACGGGAGGCAGCAGUGGGGAAUAUUGCACAAUGGGGGAAACCCUGAUGCAGCGACGCCGCGUGAGUGAAGAAGUAUUUCGGUACGUAAAGCUCUAUCAGCAGGGAAGAAAAAAAGUCCUUUGGACUUUGGACGGUACCUGACCAAGAAGCCCCGGCUAACUACGUGCCAGCAGCCGCGGUAAUACGUAGGGGGCAAGCGUUAUCCGGAUUUACUGGGUGUAAAGGGAGCGUAGACGGCAGCGCAAGUCUGGAGUGAAAUGCCGGGGCCCAACCCCGGAACUGCUUUGGAAACUGUGCAGCUGGAGUGCAGGAGAGGUAAGCGGAAUUCCUAGUGUAGCGGUGAAAUGCGUAGAUAUUAGGAGGAACACCAGUGGCGAAGGCGGCUUACUGGACUGUAACUGACGUUGAGGCUCGAAAGCGUGGGGAGCAAACAGGAUUAGAUACCCUGGUAGUCCACGCCGUAAACGAUGAUUAAUAGGUGUCGGGGGGCCAAGGCCCUUCGGUGCCGGCGCAAACG